UUGCUACUAGAGAAAUUUAUUGUUGGGCACAUUGUACACGUGGAGCCGCAUCUUCAUCUUCAUCAUAGGCUUCCUGCUGCCGCUGCAGGCGCUGUCGCCUCAUCUCCUCUUCGAUGUUAACAUCAUACAUGGUAGUCUCCUCACACUCGUCUAAUUCCAUGUUUGAGAUGUGGUUGCUUGGCCUUGGUGGCAGAAUUUUCUCCAGAGAACGACAUUGAUCAGGAGAAAACACUCCUGUCUCAGGAAAUUCAACAUUGAACUGGAUAUAAAGGCGACCCUUCAUGAAUGGCCUCCCAUGAUGAGGCAUUCCUUCAUCAUCAAUUGCUUUAUAUUGACCUAAUUGGAGAGAGAAAAUGAAACUUUAGACCACAGAACGAAGUGAUAGACUACCUUAAGACAGCUGAAAAAGAAUUAGCAAGAGGAAAUUAUAAUCAACAUAAAUAAAAGAUGUGUACCGGGCUUGAUGACUUCGCCUGGACUUGACUUAAUAAGUAACUGUCUGCCAUCAAGAUGGGUCAGAACAAACUGAAAUCCGCAAAGUGCCUCUGUCAGACUAAGUGUCCGAUCCACAUAGAGGUCAUCAUACUUCCUUUUGAAUUUUGGAUGCUCCUUAUGUUGUAGGACAAAAACUAUAUCUCCUGUCACUGUAUCCGGCUGCCAAAGAAAAAAGCAGGCAUUGAAUACAGAAGCAUCAAUGUAAUGUUUAUGUUAGGAACAACUUGGAUAUUCAGAUAUUAGUCAACACAACUCCCCACAAGCACAAAUGCAACAGUGCCAAGAAGGAUAAUCCGAAUGUAAUACCAGAGACACUGUAAUGCAUUUUUAUUUUACAUUGCCUGGCAAAAAACAUACAUGUAGAUGGGAGAACGCACACAAGCAUGGAAUUUUUUAAGGAAACAACCUAAAUCGACAAGAAGUUCAAAGCUAAACAAAGUAAAUUACUAGAGGCACAUGAUUUUUUUCUUACAGCUUCAUCAGCUUCUCCUGCAAAUACAAUCUUCUGACCAUGUUGCAUUCCCUUCUCAACAUGAACCUCCAAGACCUUCUUUUCCUGCAUAACUUUGUUCCCUUUACAAUGUGGGCAUUUGUCCUUAUCGCUGAUGACCUCACCUAAAAAUUAUUUACAAUUUACUCAGAACAAAAACAAAUGCUUAUGGUAGAGCAUAUUUGUCCAUGGGUAUGUAUAUGUAAUUAUGUACAUGUAUAGGUAUAUGUAUAUAUAUAUACAUAUAUAUACAUAUAUAUACACAUAUAUAUACACAUAUAUACAUAUAUAUACACAUAUAUAUAUAUAUAUAUACACAUAUAUAUACAUAUAUAUACACAUAUAUAUACAUAUAUAUACACAUAUAUAUAUAUAUAUAGAUGAGAGAGAAAAUUCUAUAGCACCUGAGCCUCUGCAUUCAGGGCAAACGUGCUGCAUCUGCUGGAUCAUGCCUAGUCCAAUUUGUCUAGUUACAGUCCUCAUUCCUGUACCUUGACAUCCAUAACAUCUCCCUGAAGCUCCACUCUUUGAACCUUUUCUGAAAUAAUCAACAAGCUUACAGAUGAACUAAACAAAAGACAAAAAUAGAUUCAUGGAAAACAUAAAACAAAGUGCAUCUCAUUCUUCUAGGUAAUAUAAUGAUCAUAUUUGGGAAUAAACUGAAUCCAUAGAAUUUAAAAUCUUGAAUGGUCCCAAUUCUUUGUAGAAACUAACCAUGCAGCCAAUAUAUAUGCUAAGACAUAUGAAUAAAAUAUGCAUUGCUGCUUCCCACCAAGAAGAAGCAAAUAAAAGAAAGAUCAGACCAAAGUGAAGUUACACUCCACAUGUACUCGACAUAGUUCUACCUAAUCAUUCACACCCAUCUCCAUAUUGUCUGAAUGAACAACUGUUAAUUUCUAAAGCAUUAUAUCACAACAUUAUUGGAAAUAAACAUGAUUAAUAUUACCACUGGUAUGUUAGAAUCUUUUUGAGAAACUCGAUGCCAGAUCAAAUCAGAUCCAGUAAAUGCCUAUUCAUGUUUGUACAAUAUUUGGAAAAUUAUGCCAUUGAUUCAAGAUGAGCAUCAGUAGCAGUCGCACUCAAAGUUAAGGGCUAAAGCUAUCAACACUCAAGUUAGCUGGGUAUAGUCAGAUACAUUAUGUAAUUCUUAGGAUCACCUGAACCCAAAGUGGGUUGGCUGAUCUGAUCCGGGAUUAGCUAUAGAGAUUCUAUAAAAUCGUUCAAAGUGAUAGGGAUAGCUGAUUUUUUUUCAAUCUCAAGUGAUCUGUGAUCUGCUGGGAAGAAAAGAAGGAAAAGAAGAUGAGAAGAAAAUUAGGAAGAGUAAAAGAUGAGACUUGCAGUACAAACUACAAAGAGAAUAAAGUUGUCAUUAAUUGAUCCUGAAAAUUCAUCCAGGUCAGUAAAGAGGUUGAGAAGACAGUAGUGAGGUCAUGAACAGGUUACAUAGUCUGUUCCUAUCCUGUGAAAGGUCAGGUUGUGUAGAGAAGGACACACAAGUCAAGGAGAGGUUCACCACUCUAUCCUGUGAAAGGAGGGGAGGAACUUCUUGAGGAAACCAUCUUCUAUUCAUAAGAAAAAAGGAGAGAAGUGGCUAUAUCACAAGACAUGAAAAAAAACGAAAGGACAAAAAAACUAGUGUUCACAAUUCAUUUCAUGCUGACAACUCAAUGGAGAAGAUCCUAGAUUUAAGGAACUGACAUAAACCCCUAUUUCUGAUGCACAAAUUUUGUAGUAUAUAACAUUGACAUAUAAACCUCUAUUCAUGUGUAAAUGAAAAAUUCUUGGAUGACUUCUAAAUCCAAAUUUGAUAACUUAGACCAACUUGCAACCAGCAAAAUUGCCAUGACCACAACUAUAAAUGCUUUCUUUCUCAUCCGUACUUUUGUGAAAGAGUUGUAAAUCAGUGCUCUUAGAUGAUUUCAGAUUUUUGGGAGCUUUAAGCCAUUAUGAUUUGCGUAUGUAUGGUUGGUGCAGGUACAAUGCCAAAUCUAAGUCCUAUUUUGGUUUCAUCUGUAUAACAAGACAUUGUUGCAUUCAGGGUUUCAAUUCCAAAAUUGUCUUCUCUGCUUGAAAGGGUCUUCUAUACAUUAUACACAGUCCUCCCCUCAGUUUUAAUACCCUUCAGUUUUUAUUUGCAAUGAAGGAUGGACAUAAUGAAUGUUGUUUUCUUCUCUCAGUUGUAAUAUGCUACUGAUUUGUGUAAGUUUCAUGAUCAAUGACAUGACACCAACUCAUAACUGUAGUUCAAGAUGUCUCACAAAAUGCAUCUCUCUUCCAUUGACUAUCCUUUUAUCUUACCUUCUGGUCGUCACUUUUCAUAUUUCUUUUUAUUUAACUUCACUAUGGAAUCCAAUUCUAUGCUCCGAGUAUUUCUGUCACUAACCUAGUUAUUACCACUUAGCUCUUGUCAUUUAUAUUUAGAUAUGUCAUACAAGAUUUUCCCAACACAUUCUAUGUUUCAUCAAUUAUGUGGAAACUUCAAAGAUCAAUAGUAUCUUCAAAAUUAAGCAUCAAAAUUCAUUUCAGUCCUUUGAAUCCUGAUACCUGGAUUGUGCAGUACCUUCCCAAUCUUAGUUGACCAGAAGAUCAAUCUUCAUUUCAGCUUCAAGAAUUUUUCAUAUCUUAAAUAACAAAAUCUUGUUGUGCAAGAUCAAACAGUUUUCUUAGGAGUAAUUCCAUUCAAAAAUGCCAAACCGAGUCACUGUUGCCAUGUUUAUAAGAGGUCAAGAUGAGAUCAAUACUUAAAGUCAAAAGAAAGAUAACAGCAACAAUCCAAUAUGACCAACAAAUUGCAUUAAAAAUUCCACUACAACAGAGCCGUUAAACCCAUUGUUAAACAUUUAAGCACAACAACCAAGUUCAAAAAACCCACUCAUUGACCACUUCAAUUUAGCACAACACUAUAAAAAGCAAAAGUGCGGUGGUUGUAAAUUGUAAUCUCCAUGCAAUAUCCUAGUCAAAUGCCACAAUACAUUUCUAAGCAGAGCCAUUAACUUGGCAACAAGGAAUCCUAGAUGCCGUUGGCAAAUCACAAAAAUCCAUAAAUACAUGCAAAUAUCACUAACAUAUGAGUUAUAAAAUAUAUAAGAACACAAAGAGCUUUUUUUUUUCCCAUCCUAAUGUGCAAAAUAACAAGGUGUUCAACUGUUUGACUGUUGAACUUUUCAAGAACAUUUUUUUGAUAUCCUUGCUCCUUGCAAGAUAAAAAGAUCAACAAAAGAAGACUGUUUUCUGACUUGAAUCACACCAAAAUUAUGUGAAGCAUAUGUUGAAUUACACCACGGAUAAAAUCAUGGAUCACAAAAUUCUCAAUUAGAGAUCAGAUUAUGAAAAAGAAAGAAAGAAGUUUCAGGACAGGAUGACUAGACAAAUUAAACAGACACACGGAAUAACCAAAAGACACAUGUAUAGUCCGGUGUUUUUUAGGAGAAACAGCCUCAAUUCAUGAACAUAACUUUAGCUAGAAUAUGGUUUACUUGCUGAUAUAGGUACAUGCAUUAACAAGUAUAAUAUAACUUCCCUUUACAACCAAAAUAUUUAAAAAAUAUUGUUCAAUUCUUUAAGAAAGGCAAGAUGCUACCCAUUUAUAGCUUCAAGUGCCAAAAUUUACCUUAAUUUUCAAAAUCUAACAAGAAGAUUGAUUGCAUGCCUUACAGGCCACAUAAUAACAAAUGUCUUGUUCUCAAUGAUCAUAAUUGAGUUAGAUGAUUGCUUGAGGGAUUAUAUCAUCAAUAACAUGGAAAUAGAUAUUGUGAUGCUAAAUAAUCUUGGUCCUAGAACUUCAUUGAGGACAUGUAAUCUUUGCCGAUUAUUGUAUUUUGUUCAAAUUUCAAAGGUGCCAGAGCAGUGAAGCAUCAAGGUUCUUGAAGCUUGGACAAAGCACUGAUGAUAGCACAUGCCUUAGUUAACAAAGGCACACAACGUAAAACAAAUCCAUAGAGUAACUGGAGGAGCUUGUCAGGAUUCCAUGGUAAGUAAUUUGUUAUGUAGGCAUCAACCUCUCUGUUACUCUUGUUUAGAUUCUCUUUCUUUGAAUUUUCCUUUUUCUUUUCCCCUAAGCCCAACUCUGAAGCCAGCAAAAUGUUAUAACAUAAUCCAAAUACUUGGUCUUCAUUUCCUUUUCAGUGAAGGGUGAUCUCCCCAAAAUAACAAAACUUUUUCCUCUUAGGCAUUUGGCUUUCUGGAAAGGUUAGACACUUAACAGGCACAUCAAUGAAGCUAGUGAGCUUCAAGUGAGCUCGUAUACUUUUUAGAUGAUGAACAUGCAUUGAUUUUGCUAAAACUUAACAAUACUCAUUGCUACUCCAGCAAAAUUAAAAAUAUGAACCACAUAGAUUCAGAGAAUGAGUAUGAUGUACAACUAAGAAGCAUGAACACAUUGGGCGGUCGAUAGUUAGUAUAAAGGUGAAGCAAUUACAUUGGCUAAAUCAAUAGCACUUAAUACUAAUAUCAAGCUUUGAAUAAAAAAGCAAAUACAAUUGGCAGUUGAUUUCCCAUUAAACUAAUAAGCAUCACGGACAGUUCUCAGACAAAAUAUGACAAAAUUGCCGAUGCAUACCCUUUGCACUUUUGGCAUAAGGCAUUUCUUGACAGUGAAAGCUUUUUCGAUGUCCCAUUGUACAGGUCUUCCAAAGACACCUUUAAGGAAUGAACUACAUCUUCACCUCGUUUUUGCCUACGACCUCUUGAACUGCCACCUUCAGGCCAAAUACAUCUAAUAAAUUUAUCAUCCAUAAAUCACAUAGCAAAGUAAAAGGAGUUGCAAAAAAAUUUUCCUCACCACCAAAACUGCCACCACCGAAACUGCUACCACCGAAGAACUGCUCAAAUAUUUCAAAUGGAUUGUGGAAACUUCCACCACCGCCUCCUCCUAUUCCCUCUUUAAGUGCAUCUUCCCCAUAUUUAUCAUAAAUUUCUCUCUUUUCAGGAUCACUAAGAACUUCGUAUGCUUGAGCCAAUUCCUUAAACUGAUCCAAUGCAUUAAUAACGAGAUAUUAAGUCCGAGAGAACAAGAAGGCAUAUUAAGCAAAAAACUACGAAUGGUCUCUUGAAAACACCAACAGUACUACCGUGAACAGAAACAGAAGACAAAAGAAUCACUUAGAGAUUUUGAUAAAAAAAAGGCUCACCUUCUCAGGAUCUCCACCCUUAUCCGGGUGGUUCCUUAUGGCGGCCUUCCUAUAGGCUUUCUUCAGCUCAUCCUGGCUUGCGCUCUUGGGAACCCCAAGAAUCUCGUAGUACUUGGUGUUGUCGCUCUU
rnacentral:lncRNA from 1 species